AGGGGUGUCCAGAAAGAGCACCGGUGGGAGUGUGGACACCGGCCGGACUGUCAACUCCAGGGGCGAAGGGAACCUGCACACCCAGUGUUUUUUCCUUCGCAGUAAUCGAGAUCCCGCGCGGCGCAGCGCAGCCACCAGGAUCUAAAUAUUCAGAUGUGUUAAUUACAUGCCCUGGAAGCUGGAAGCGAUCAGUGGUGUUCACACUGGACGUGGAGCUGUUUGUAUAAUUUUCAUCUUCCUGCACUUACACAUGACGCUCAGUCUAAUAAAUUCAACCUUGUCAUUUUUAGAAUCGA